UAAAGCGUGCGCAGGCGGUUAUGUAAGACAGAUGUGAAAUCCCCGGGCUCAACCUGGGAACUGCAUUUGUGACUGCAUGGCUAGAGUACGGUAGAGGGGGAUGGAAUUCCGCGUGUAGCAGUGAAAUGCGUAGAUAUGCGGAGGAACACCGAUGGCGAAGGCAAUCCCCUGGGCCUGUACUGACGCUCAUGCACGAAAGCGUGGGGAGCAAACAGGAUUAGAUACCCUGU
rnacentral:rRNA from 1 species